rnacentral:tRNA from 1 species
UGGCUCAGUUGGUAGAGCACAUGACUCUUGACCUUGGGGUUGUGAGUUCGAGUCCCAC